rnacentral:rRNA from 1 species
CCUACGGGAGGCAGCAGUGAGGAAUAUUGGUCAAUGGCCGUAAGGCUGAACCAGCCAAGUCGCGUGAAGGAAGAAGGAUCUAUGGUUUGUAAACUUCUUUUAUAGAGGAAUAAAGUUAUCCACGUGUGGAUAUUUGCAUGUACUCUAUGAAUAAGCAUCGGCUAACUCCGUGCCAGCAGCCGCGGUAAUACGGAGGAUGCGAGCGUUAUCCGGAUUUAUUGGGUUUAAAGGGUGCGUAGGUGGUUUUUUAAGUCAGUGGUGAAAGUUUGUGGCUCAACCAUAAAAUUGCCGUUGAAACUGGAAGACGUGAGUGUGUUUGAGGUAGGCGGAAUGCGUGGUGUAGCGGUGAAAUGCAUAGAUAUCACGAAGAACUCCGAUUGCGAAGGCAGCUUACUAAGCCAUAACUGACACUGAAGCACGAAAGCGUGGGGAUCAAACAGGAUUAGAUACCCCGGUAGUC